UUAAAGACGUCAGUUUGACAGAUAUCCUAAAAUGGUUACCCAGCCGCCAUGACAAUCGUGAAUUCUUAUUCUAUUCACGAUUAGCAGUGAUGAAUAACGAUUUGAUGUGAUUAAUUUAAUAAAUAUGGAAUCAAAAAUAGAUUUGCGAACCUGAUUUAAAGCUAGCUUAUAUGUUUUACGUAUUAAACAAGUAAUGCAGCAUCAACAGGAGGUUUCGUCAAGUCAACAAUAUCGGGGUAUUAAAUAUUUAUAAGUCGAGAUAAAUUUUAAUUGGAAUUAACACACAAUUCAUUCUCACAGCAUACAACCUGUAUUCCGAGUUCAUAAACAUUUAUAAAGUGAACCUUUUUGAUACAGAAUUUUGAUAAUGAACAUUGAACACGCCCUUACAAGAACCGCUCACCUCCCGACCUCGCUGUUAUUUACGUACCACAGAUAAACUCCCUUUGAAGUCGCAACAAGUGAUUGUUAUUACAUAUUACUGAUCAAUUACAAUAUUAUGUAGAUACAGCAAUAAAAUCUGGUAUAGAUUCUAAUUCCUUUGACUUAUUGCCACAGACUGUAUAGGAAAUCAAUAAUUUUCUGCAAAACGUCAUCCUAAACGUCAGUCGAGGUCGUUAAAUGGCAAUAAUAUUGUUGUUUCUAUAUAAAUACGUUAUAUAUUAUGUUAUUAUAUGUAAUUAAGUUCAAAUCUUAUAAAAAUUUAAUAACAAACUAUGAAUAAAGUUACGCUUAAGUUAAAAUGACGUUUUACGUAACGAAUUACGCUAUCUCAUUUCGCUGACGACCGUCAAGGGUGAAUUUAACGUU